AUCGGACAUGCGUCCUCCUCCCUCCUCCUGCCUCCCUCUCUGCAUUUGACAGUGUCCCUCCCUCUUUCUCUCUCCUCCUCCUUCUCCUCUCAUUAGGGCUUUUCACCGGCAAAACACCGACACACUCCCUCUCCCUGUAACCGGGUAAUACACACGGAUCGGCGGCAGCAGCAGGAUUGAGCCCCGGUGCGCACCAUCCAUGGUCCUCCCCUUGAUGUGGGUCUGACAGGAGGGUUGGUGUUACUUCUCUGAAGAGACGAGGCAAGAGGCAGAGUCGGAGGCGAAGUGAUCGAGACAGGAGUCCUCCCAGACAGCAGGGGGCAGCAGCGAGCAUGCAGGAAUCAGCCUCGGACAGCAAGAUGGCCAAACAGGACCAGAACUCCAAGUAUCUGGAUGAAAACAGAGAAACAGACGACAUGUCGGAGAAAACGUCGCCAAACAAGAACCUCAAAUCUCCCCAGAAAGGCUCCAAACGACUCAAAACCGCCCCCUUCAAAAUCACCCUGCUGGACACAUCGGAGUUCGAAGGCGAAAUUGAGAAACACUCCAAAGGACAGAGCCUGACGGACAUGGUGUGUGAGCAUCUCAACUUAUUGGAGAAGGACUACUAUGGUCUGACCUUUGCUGACACCGACACCCAGAAGAACUGGUUGGACCCCUCUAAGGAGAUCAAGAAGCAGAUGCACAACUCUCCGUGGCACUUUGCCUUCUCUGUCAAGUUCUACCCUCCAGAUCCCUCCCAGCUCACGGAGGAUAUUACCAGAUACUACCUGUGUCUGCAGCUGAGGGAUGACAUGCUGUCAGGUCGGCUGCCAUGCUCCUUCGUCACUCACGCCCUCCUCGGCUCCUACAGCGUUCAAGCCGAGCUGGGCGACUACGACCAGGACGACCACGGCUCCGACUACGUCAGCGAUUUCCGCUUCGCUCCCAAUCAGACUCGCGAGCUGGAGGAGAGGGUGAUGGAGCUCCAUCAUAACUACAAGGGGAUGACUCCAGCAGAGGCUGAAAUUAACUUCUUGGAGAACGCAAAGAAACUGUCGAUGUACGGGGUGGACCUCCAUCACGCUAAGGAUUCUGAAGGGAUUGAAAUAAUGUUGGGCGUCUGUGCCAACGGCCUGCUGAUUUACCGAGAUAGGCUGAGGAUCAACCGCUUUGCCUGGCCAAAGAUCCUGAAGAUCUCCUACAAGAGGAGCAACUUCUACAUCAAGAUACGACCUGGGGAGUACGAGCAGUUUGAAAGUACAAUCGGUUUUAAGCUUCCUAACCACCGAGCUGCCAAGAGGCUGUGGAAGGUCUGCAUUGAGCAUCACACCUUCUUCAGACUGGUGUCUCCAGAGCCUCCUCCAAAGGGCUUCUUGGUGAUGGGUUCAAAGUUCAGAUACAGUGGAAGGACACAGGCUCAAACCAGGCAGGCCAGUGCUCUCAUAGACCGGCCCGCUCCACACUUUGAGCGUUCAGCCAGCAAGAGGUACCUGCUGUCCCGGAGCCUGGACGGAGCCGAGUUCUCGAGGCCGGUCUCAGCGAUGUGUGAGAACCACGACGGGCUCACCCGACGCAGCGUCAGCGAGCAGCGGCGCCUCCACAGCCCCUCGGUGGAGGAGCAGCAGGAGGUGGAGCUGGAGCCUAGUAUGGAGCAGGACGAGGACGAGGACAAGGACGAGGACAAAGACCAGGACCACAGCGAGAUGACCGAGGAGUACUAUGACGGCGAGGUCACUCCAAGCAGAAAGAAAGAGAUCAUGGAGGAGGCUGGGUCACCAGUUGACAGUAAACAGGAGCUUUCUCAGUUGGAUCAGGAGUCCACUCCUCGGCACAAACAGGAGUUUCUGGAUAAGUCGAAGGAUGUUUUGCUGAAGCACCAGGCGAGCAUCAACGAGCUGAAGAAGGCCCUGAAGGAGCCCAACAGCAAGCUGUCGGUCCGCGAGAAACGUCUGUCGGGAACUUCCCCGACCGGCACGCCGGAGAGGAAGGCUUCGGCGGUCCGAGCAGUGGGGAAGGACCCUGUUAACAGCCUGUCUGUUGAGGGUUUCGUCCAGAAGACGGUGGUGACUUCACCUGAGGGCUCUGAGGAGUGGGUAUUGAUUGAAAAACAAGAAACUUAUCUACAGGACCAAGACUGGAAGGCAGAAGAAAUGAACAAAUUGGAUUCUUCAUGGGAGAAAGAGGAGCUGGAAAAAGAGAUAGACAUAACCAAGAUGAUACAUAAGGAGGUAACAGGGUAUGACAGCAAAGAAAUGAAAAGCCAUAUUGAUGAAUUUUCAUCAACCAAAGAGGCAGAGGAGUGCUCUGAGCCACGGCCGACUAACAAAAGUCGUUUUAUGGUUCAAUUAUCUGAAAAUGCAGACUUGAAUCUUGACAAAUCUCAAAGUAAACUAUCUCAAAACUCUGACACCGAUGCAAACAAUGAUUUUGCCCCGGGCUCACGGCAGAUGAAAGACCGUACAGCUUCGAAACCAAGGAAAAAGAGGAGACCCCAGAGCUUAAACCUGGGUAUGCCUCCCGAGCUCAUUUACGGGAAAGAAAGCAGUGACUCUACUGACGAAGACAAUAACGGCUCAGACUUGGACAUCAGUCCAGAAAAAACCUCAAAAGCCGGAAAUCAUUGCGACCUAUCGCCAGUGGAGAUGGUGAAGGAUGAUCAGGGAUCAGAAAAAGAUGAGUCUUUCAGGGUCUACAAAGACGACCAAGAAGAUAUAUCAGUAGAGAGUGAAAACAUGGAGGUAGAAGCAGAGCAGGUAAAGAGGAAAGUGAGUCAGGUUGGGCCAGCUGAUAUCGAUAUGGUGAAUGGCCCCGGAAAGAUGGAGCAUGAUAGUUCAGUAGCAGGUGUUAAAGGGGAGUGUGGGAUGAAGUCGCGAGGACGGGGUCUUAUUGACAACAAAGAUCUAGCUGAGGUAAAGCUGCGACAGGUCAGGACGCAUGAGAGGAAGAUCAGUAGUUCGGGGGGAGAGGAUAUUGAGGGUUUAUUGGGAGACAGAGGCCAGAGAACGUCUCUCCAACGACUGUCAGGCAGCAGCUUUCAGUCAGAAAUCACCAGGAUUGUUCCUCUUAAGCCAGAGCGAUCAAAGAGUGUAGCGUGUAAGGACGAAAGGGGCUGGGAAGAGCCCACGGGACUCGUCAGAAGGGAAUACCGCUGGUCGGUGGGUUCUCCGGAGGCGUCCUCGGACCUCUCCUGGACAGACUCCGCCGCCUUUCAUCCAUCUUUUGCAGCAGAUCUGGAGGGAAUCACUAGAGCAGAAUAUCCUGAUGACAGCUAUCAGUUUGGUAGAGGACCGACGGAGAGUCAGUCGUUCUGCUCAAAGAUUUCGGCGCUUCACAAAAUGGCUCCCCCGGCCCCGCCAGUAAAAACACAGAAGGCCCGAGAAUCUGGACUCAUACUGCGGAACAGCCGAAACCCUGGCAGGGAGCCGAGUCUGGACGCAGCCAAGAAGAGACACUCGGAGCCCGUCUCUACUCCUGCCAUUUAUGAAGAGCCGUUUGCUGAUUUCAAGAAGGAGCUCGGGGACAGGAGGCCUCUGCCCAGAUUAGCGUCAGAGGAGGAGCAGGACCGGGACACGGUGGCCUGCAUGAGAGAAUCCCACCUGGGCAUCGAGCGUAAAUGUUCCAGCAUGACGGUGAGCUCCACGUCGAGCCUGGAGGCGGAGGUGGACUUCACCGUCCUGAUGGACCUCCACUCCGGAUUUGAAGACUUCUCUAAGGGCACGUCGGAGCACGGAGAGCGGGACAGGCAGCCUGAGGUGUGCCGGGAAGAUUUUGAAGAGACCUCCAGGUUCUACUCUGCCCGUCUGAUGGGCUCCCGGGACAAGUCUCCCAUAGAGGAGGGAACACAUCACGAGCCUCCCGUGGCAAAGAAAGAAGCCAGUGCUGUGAGUGCGGCCCACAUCAUGAAGAGGGCUGAUAGCAAGAAGGAGACACACACAAAUGGAUCAGAGGCCCACUCCAACAUCAUGAAUGCCUCACCGCAGAACCACGGAGGCGUCAGCCCGAGGGAGGCUCCUGCUGCCCUGAAAGAAAAUGGCUCGCCUGUAAAAGCUGCGACCCAGGAGAGGGACUCUGUUGUUUCCCCGCUGACCAUCACAGCUGAGAGCGUCACCACAGCAACCACAACUCAAGUUACCAAGACUGUGAAAGGAGGUUACUCAGAGACAAGAAUCGAGAAGAGGAUAAUAAUCACAGGAGACGACGAUGUGGACCAGCAUCAGGCCCUCGCCAUGGCCAUCCAGGAGGCCAAGCAGCAGCACCCUGACAUGCUGGUGACAAAAGCUGUGGUUAUCAGGGAAACAGAGUCUCCUACUGAGGAGAUGCAGCAGCACUCAGAGAUUGCUGAAUGGGUUUACUGGACAUAGGCCCUCGGACCAGAGGGGACAGAGGGACCCUCGCCCAGAACCUCUGCUUUAUGUGGGUGCUAACAUUUCAUUCCUGAUCGGCCAUGAAGGCUCCUGAGACGGGGGGACAGGAGAGGGUCCUGUUUGUCCCCUGGCAAACCCCUCAGACACCAGGACCCUCCACCCCGCCUGUGUAAAAACACCAACACCAGAACAGUUCCUCCUCCACUCUGUACCCUUUAGACGGACCAACUGUGACACCGCUUGUGACCCAACCCGACCCUCCACCACUUUAGGGAACAGGAAGAAUCCGCUAUUGGAUGAUUCACCACUUGGUUCAUCAAGUCACGGCUGUUUUACUUCAGCUCUGUUGUCGACAAAAAACGUAGUUGCAUUUGAUGUCAUCUUGAUAUUUGAAUCAAUCAACCCAAUUCCCUCAAAAAUGGCUUCUGUCACAUAUGAAAGGUAUAACAGCAUGGGUGUAUAAAGAGAAUUGGAUACCAAAACAGACUUUACUCGAGAACAGAAAUACUCGGAUCAUCCAUGGAUCUUACAGCAUCCCCAUUUUACAACUUCUAGGCCCUGCUUAUUUAUAUUGAUUUAUCGAUAAGGGCUAAUCAGUGUUUGUCCUGUUUUUAUUUACUUACUUACUAAAAUCCCAAUGUAAGUCAAUGAGGGCCAAAAUGACAUCACGGACUGUAGUACCACCGUUUGGCCACUAGGAAAUUUGCUUCCACGCCUGGUCGCUUCUUGUAUUAGAGCAGAGGGAAAUGACGGAGACAAUGCUGGUGGUGGGGUGAGACGGGGAGGGUGGUGUCAGGCGGCCUUUUUGCUCGACGUCGCCACCUCCUGGCUGUGACCUUCAGUAUAAUCAACUGCUGUCUUAUUAGCUUUUUACAUUUUUAUCUAUAGAGGAUCUAAUUUAUGUCCAGUGUUUGCUUGUUUAUGAAAUAUGUAUAAUAUCAGAUGACUAUAAUCUGCAUGAUUCAAUAAAAAAAAAUAGCAGAGGGAAUGAAAAAAAUAAACCACUUGUCCACAUUUGAAAUCCAUAGAAAGAUAAUGGGACUGAACUGUAAAAAUCCCUUGAUGGACACAUGGAGGAGACGGACAGUUGCGUAACACUUCAGUGGACAGCUGGGACAAUCACUGUCCACAUCACAUUCAACGUUCCCACUUUCAUUUUGACGUCUAUUUGCCAUCUACACUGAGAAAUGCUGGUCACAUGUUUUGGGCAAAGUUAAAGGAUUUUUAAAGAUAUUUUAAUAUAAAUAAUGUUUUAUCUAAUAUGUGUUGAUACUUCCUAAUUUGCUUUUACUGACUUCCAUCUUGAAACAGAGACUGUAAUGUUAUUCUUGUGCUUUUAGACGUUUUAGUGUUGAUGUGUGAGACAUACGGAGGGGAUUUAGGUGCCACAACAAAACGGAGAAGUAGGACUUUUUAUUCAUUGACAAUUAGCAUUUUUAGAAUCAACUUAUUUGUUGAAAUGUCGAGAAAAACUUGAAAAGACAAACUUUGAAAAGUCAAAACAACUAAUAAAUCAAAGAUUCUGGCGUUGAAUAGCCUACAUUAUUAAAAUGUUGACUAUAUUCUGGAAUUGUAAAACUUCCUCCUCAUUUCCCCCUUAGCCCUUAUAUCAUACUCUUCUGUAGAAACCUCUUUAUUUAAGAGCUUCAUUAAAAGUUACGUUUCACUGGAGAACCUACAAAGUUAAUCACAGACCCAAAACUUUUAAAAAUGGUGAAGUUGUGAAUGAAAAAUGCAUUGAAUUUGGUUGCUUAUAAUAGCAGCUUUUAAACACCAAAAUAAAUGUAUGUUACAGUUGGAUCCAUUACAAAUCCACACUGCCUAAAACGUUCAAAACCACAAGAAAAUAACAAGGGUACUUUUUUUCUGUUCAGUUGGAUUAACUCAAUUUAAGUUAUGGUGUAUGAGUUGUAAUGUAUUUAUAGGAGUGGUGAAUGUGAGGCCUGUACUUGUUCUCCCUGUUCCCCCGACAGACAAAGCCAAGACUUCAUAGUGUGACCUAAACGAAGCGCCGUCUAACCCCGUUGGCUGUCACACAACUAGUGUUGCAACAUUCCGAGAUGUUUCCAAGAUGGAAACUUGAACAGGAAUUUAUGGGAAUAAACUGGGAAUUUUCUAAAUUGAAGGUUGGCUCUUUAUAGGGAACUUAAAUAUAGUUGGGGAAAGUAUAUUUUAGCAUAAUCUUGACUAAAACAAACAGAUGCCAUUCAAGUACACUUGAAUAUCCAUGCCAUAGCACACUGCUUACUGCAUGGCUAUUGGGACCACACCCCCUACAGGCACUGUGCAUUCCUCCAUCACAUGCACACAUGAGUAAUAUUUAACUCAACAUUCCUGUUUUCGUUCUUCAAUGAAACAAAUAAUUGUUCAAUAAAAUAAUGAAAUCAAAUCAAAUUAAAAUUUUAUUUUUUAAAUCUGUUGAAAUGUCAUGUUUUUUGUUUAAUUUUGCAUCGAAUAUUUCCAAAAUUCCCCAGCUUAACUUCCCAUAGAAACCUUCCGGAAAUGUUCCGCCCCUUUGCAACCCUACACACAACACAUACCCUGGAUGACCUUUAAUAAUAUACUAUGCAUCACUUACCAUACAUAAUAACCCCUGUGAUGGAGCCUGACCCGCUUUAGCCGUCAUUGUUAACUUCGUGCUACUGCUAACCGAAAGGCAGCGCUUGUGAGAUUUUGCAAUAAGCAACCAUUAUUCCACCCUCUCUCCUCUUAAGGGAGACAACUGUGAACUCUCAUGUGUAACCAAAACCUAUAACGCAGAGUUUGUGAUAUUAAAAAGGAGCUUUUCCAACACUUGUGACCAUGGCUUUGUCCCCCCCGUCGUCUAACCCUCCCAAAUCCCCCGACCUCAAACUGUCGCCCUGCUGAUGAUGUGUCUGAGGAAAUGAGAUUCCCCAAAACUGGUUAUUUGUAUAUUAUAUUUUGUUUCUGGUCGUAUGACACUGGACUGUUGUGAAGGCAUAUUUGUUACUGUAAACCUGUGAUACUCAACUUAGCGAACCAAAUCUGGCCCUCAAUAGGAUCCCCAUCGACCAAUUAUUAAUUCAGAAAAUAGAGAAAGCGAUUGACAGUUGUAAUUGUAUGAUGCUUUUAAUAUACAUUUGGAACAAUAGUGCUCAAAUUUGCAUCUAAAUUGAUCAAAAUACUUUUUUUAUUCAUACAAAAAGGGAUAAAAAAAAGCUACCUUGCCCCAAUAUUUAACAGAAGAAUAUGUUAAAUUCUUGUAAAAUAUUGGAUUUAUUUGUAAUUUUGGCCUAGUGUCAACCCUGCUAAAGGAAUAUUGUCAAUUUUCAAAUAAAGCAUUUCAAUGAAAGAAGAAUACAAUUUGUAUCAAAACCACAUUGUGUAAUGAUAUGAAAAAUGUAAUUGUUACGUUUCAUUAUUUAAUCAUUAGGUUAUAAACAGCUUGAACACAACAUGUACAACUAUUCCCAGCUAGAAUGUAUUAAUAAUGCUUGAUGCUUUGAUGGUAACGUUUAUUUGUGUUGGUUAUUACAUGAAGCAUGUGUUAUAAUCAUGAAAAGUAAGUGCAUUUCCCACCUUUUGUAAAAACAACUGCAAUAUAAGAUCCAAUAUGUCCAAAUGCAAGUGUAUUACAUAUUGCAUUCAAGCUGUUUACUUAUUAUGUAAUGUGGUGUAAUUACACAAUGUGUAUUUUAAUACAUUUUAAUAUUUGUUUAUGAUCUAGCCCCUUGUAUCCUGUCAUUUUACAAAAGUGGCCCCCGGGCGAGUUGAGUAUCUUUGCUGAAAACAGAUGGGUGUAGUUUUGUACCGAUGGAUGAAAUGACUGCAUCAUGAGAAGCGCUGUGUGUGUUUGGUGAGGUGGUGAAUUGAAGGAUGGAGGGCCUAUAUUUAUGUAUAGAUAUCCAUACUUCUGUGUAUAAUCUGUAAAGUAUGUAGAAUCUAAGCAGGAGAAAGGAAGUGUUUUAUAGGGGGAGAUAUGAGGCAGUCAGUGUAAUCCCACCGCAGUAGAAGUGACACAUGAAUGGGUGCCUUAUGUUGGGAGUCGUGGUUAUGGGGGGAGUUUUCAGCGCCGUUAAUCAACACGACCUCCCUCUCAGUCCAAGGUGUCUCGAAAGUGAUUUACUGUCUUGUAAAAUAAUGUGACAUUGAGCGUAGAGACGAAAUAAGUAUCUUGUUAAGCGAGAUGAAAACAUGUAUUGGCCCCAUUAGAAAACCAGCAUAGUUCAGUUAUUUAUUUUCUCCAUGAAGAGCAUCAAACCGCUAUUUAGCCUCCACCUUCAAUUCUCCACUGCCUUUUGCUCUACAUCCCCCUAGUGCUUGGUAGUGUGUACUUGCUGUAUUUGCAUUCAGUCUAAAUGGAAAACAUACAUGCAUAAAUAAAUGUCUCAAUAUGAUUCAAA